AGCAGCCGCGGUAAUUCCAGCUCCAAUAGCGUAUAUUAAAGUUGUUGCAGUUAAAAAGCUCGUAGUUGAACUUCGGAAUUUGCCCAUUGGUCAGGCUUAACUGUCUGCACUGGUGUGACCGAGUUCCUACCUUCUGAGGAAUCUCCAUGUCAUUCAGUUGGUGUGGGGGGAAAUCAGGACUGUUACUUUGAAAAAAUUAGAGUGUUUAAAGCAGGCGUCCGUCUGAAUACAUUAGCAUGGAAUAAUAAAAUGGACGGUUUGGUUCUAUUUUGUUGGUUUCUAGGAUCACCGUAAUGGAUUAAUAGGGAUAGUUGGGGGCAUUAGUAUUCAAUUGGUCAGAGGUGA
rnacentral:rRNA from 1 species